rnacentral:tRNA from 1 species
GCCACCGUGGCGAAGAGUUUAGCGUGUCCGCCUAUGACGCCGAGUGCUUGGGUUCAAAUCCCGAUGCGAGCA